UACGGGGGGGGUAAGCGUUGUUCGGAAUUACUGGGCGUAAAGGGCUCGUAGGCGGCCAACUAAGUCAGACGUGAAAUCCCUCAGCUUAACUGGGGAACUGCGUCUGAUACUGGAUGGCUUGGAUUCGGGAGAGGGAUGCAGAAUUCCAGGUGUAGCGGUGAAAAUGCGUAGAUAUCAGGAGGAACACCGGUGGCGAAGGCGGGGUCUCUGGGGCAUUAACUGACGUGAGGAGCGAAAAGCAUGGGGGAGCGAACAGG
rnacentral:rRNA from 1 species